CAGCGAGAGCAGCAGAGUGCGGCAGAGAGAGCAGAGCGAUCGGACCCGUCAGGAGCAAACAGCCGGAGGCAGUAGCCCAGCAGCCAGAGGCAGUAGCCCAGCAGCCGGAGGCAGUAGCCCAGCAGCCGGAGGCACUGUUUUCGGAAUCGGGCUCCAGAGAGUCAUUAAAGGUGCUGCUGGAGUCACUUUAGCCUAUGAUGGAGGCUCUGUCCAGGAAACCAGAAGGAUGUUUUGAAGCUUGGACUACCGGGUGUCCUCGCACCUGCCUUUCAGAACCAUCUUUCAGACUACAAGCUCCAGAAGGACCGGGUCCGUGUCUACCAACUCCACCUUACUGUAGUUCCCCCAAACAAUUAGUCCAGCUCUCUGAACAUAUUAAGCACUUAAUAAAUACCAUUAUUUGGGCUGGUAAGAAACCAAAGAUGCCUCUAGAAUGAAUUCACUUCAGAAUUUCCUAUGUUAAAGCCUCCUCUCCAAUUUGCCCAAACCUUUAACUUUUCCUUUUUCCAACCGGUCAGCUCUAGCGAUGACUAUCUCUGUGUUGAUGUAGGUUUUAAUCAGUGGUAUUUA